UACGGGGGGGGUAAGCGUUGUUCGGAAUUACUGGGCGUAAAGGGCUCGUAGGCGGCCAACUAAGUCAGACGUGAAAUCCCUCAGCUUAACUGGGGAACUGCGUCUGAUACUGGAUGGCUUGAGUUUGGGAGAGGGAUGCGGAAUUCCAGGUGUAGCGGUGAAAUGCGUAGAUAUUGGGAAGAACACCUGAGGCGAAGGCGGGUUGCUGGGCCGACACUGACGCUGAGGCGCGAAAGCCAGGGGAGCAAACGGG
rnacentral:rRNA from 1 species